AAGCCUGCAUUUUAUGCCUUCUUUAAAAAUAUGGUUUGAAGUUUCUCAAUUUUUAUUUGUGUUGGAUGUGUUGACUAUAUUGGAACAAGGUGUGCUUUAUUAUUAUUGUUUUUGCUACAUGAUGCAUUGAGACCUUUAACUUCUUAAGCACAUCUGGCAUUAAAAUGAAGUAGCUAAGCUUGUUGCUAGGGGCACCAUUUGAAACAUCUGCUAGAAAUUCUUUUAUGGUUUCUAGCAGGUCUCUUAGACUGGCUUUUCUAACUUUAUGAUGUGACCCGUCCACUUGACAGAUAAAAAAUUUGUGAACUGG
rnacentral:misc_RNA from 1 species